GUGGUAACCAACACAGGACUGUGUGAUGCAUGGAGCUGAACAACCAGCUGCUUCUGACCAGUCUUCCCUGUGUUGGUUACUUUGAGGAUCUCUGUGCUAGCUGAUUUAUCUACAAAGACAAUGUCAGUUGGCAACAAACCCAAGUUUCAUCACGUUCUUCUACAACUGGCAUAAGAUAAAAGAAGCCAGAGUCUUGCCUAGUAAACUGGAAUUCACAUGAGAAGUGAAGUUCUACAGGACAAGAUUAAUAAGUCUGAGCAUCUGUGCCUAUCAGCACAUCAGCAAAGUAGAAGGACAUAGAGUUCUCCAAUAAGAAGAAUGAAUAUUAGAGCUAUGAUACAAGCAGGUUCAACAAUUACCCCACUGUUACUGUCCCCAAGGCCAAGCGAAAGCAGGCAAAAGGAUAGUAACAACAAGAGUUACUUCCACAGAAGCCUCAGAAGUCCUUAAGGUAUGGAGGAGGAAGAAAUACCUAGAACAGAUGAUUGGAGCAAAUGUGCUAGGAGAGAGAAAUGG